AACCAAAUGGAGGCAAGCUGGGACAGUAGUUCAACCCCAUAACCCUUCCAUUACUUCAUCUCAAAAGAAUAAAGAGAAAUGCUGACUUCUCCCACCCUGGCCACCCCGCAGAAGGGCCCAUUUAUUUUCAGGGAAAUGAGCUCCAGCUGGGUCCGUGGUAAAUGGAGGUCUCAGCCAGCCUCUCACCAAAAGAAAUUGCUAAUCAGGAAGCAGCGCCACCUGGUGAGGGACGCGGACAAUGCCAGCAAGCAGAUGUUCUUUCCCACUGACCUAAUUUAGAGAAAAUUGAACGUAAGGCAGAAAACAUUUGAGACUGUAAGCCUGUGCCCAAAACCUUAAAGAAUGCAGGCAGCUGGCCAUAAAAGUAAUUUGAGCAAUCUCCUCUAUCGGUCAUCGCAUUCAAAGUUUAUUAUAAACAUCUGAAACGCACUGAUGGUCCUUGACAGUUUCCUCUGCACUCUCCCCCGUGCCGAUCGGUCAGCACAGUGUGGAGGGCAUGGGACCUUCCUCCUUCCCAUCUUACAGAUUUGGAACUCAGAGUCCAGCAGGGGGGAGUGCCAGAGACACACCAAUGGGGAAGACCAGGCCCCAGCUUACCUCCUGCCCCGACAGGUGCUUCUCUGCUGAACCCGGGCAGUGACCUGGUAAGCCCUGUAAAACAUAAGAGACCCAUGAUCUUAACACCCCUGGGGCCUCUGGACUUACAAGAGCGGAUGGGGGCUGGGUCCUAGCUGGUCCGAGCAUCUCCUUUCUGUGUCUCGUUGAGGGACUUGAAGAUGUGGGAUGAGGGAAAGUUGGCAGAGAUGGGAAACCCGGGACUUUCAGAAGUAGCUGUUAAGCGCUUGCCUGUUUCUGAUAAAUUCAGGGGAAGCAACUCUCACCUACGUCCAGGGUUUUAAACAUGCGCAAAUAUCCUCCGUUGGAACACUGAGUUUUUAAUUAUCUUCAGGUAUCUCGAUAAAUUGAGCACUAUGUGAAUAUUCCGUUAGCGGGGAGGCUGCAGAACUUGAGAAACAGCAGAAAAGAAGUAGGGCGAGCAGCAAAGACACGUAACUGCUGAUAUGUUUAAAGCUCCGACACGUAGACCGUCCCAAGCACUCCCUCUACCAGUUACCAUCAUUCCCAAACAACCCAAAGGCCAAGAAUGACGGCAGCAAGAUUACCUCCAAGCAGGAAGUGACAGUGACCCCUGCCCCGAAAGCCUUCCUAAAUGCUAAGGAUGCCACCAAGUUACCUAGUUGUUCCUCAGUGCUCAUUCUUGCUAGCACAUCAGGGCCGGGUCAUGUUUGUAACAUGGUCACUCAGUUGUGUCCCGGGUGCCGUCAUCAAGUGAACUUGUAGAAGAGAUGGCAUUCGUCGUGAUUUUGUUCCCGGCACCCACCCACAGUACACAUGACCUUUCUCCGGCUCAUUGACGGAAUGGAGGAAACAUUUACUCUAUAAAAGAGGAGGAUCAAAUUGACAAAAUACGUAAAGCACUCCGUGUCUGACACAUAGUAGGUGCUCAAGAAAUUCAUAACGGUAGCCAAUACCUUAUUGCCCAAGAUGCCACUAGCCCAUUUCCGCGUCCAUUUUUACAGUAGGGGAAAUGGCACAAAGGCUGAGUAUCCAAGGGCACAGAGCAAUUAUUAAGGGCUCGUACCCACUGGGCUCCUCUAUAGCUAUGUACCUAUGUCGUGGGAUUUUUGUAGGCAUGUCAGCGUGAUGGUACAGCGCUUCCUGUGAUGGGAUCAGGCCAGUGGGACUCGCAGGUAGGUGCUACCUUAAACUCUGUCGUCUUGAACACCUGGUCUUCCUAGACCUUUCGUUUUCUUACUCGAAAGCUGACUUGGAAAAGAUGGUAGAGAUUGAACUAAAUGAUCUUGAAAUUCUGUGACUUGAAUCUUGCUUUUUCAUUUUAAGGGGUUUAUUGAAGUUUUAGAAUUCUUUGCCUUCACACUUACUUUUGGUUUAACGGAUUUGAAGUCCUUGUUGGGUGUGGUCAGGAACACAAACCCCAACUGUGGGCAGUAAGCUGAUGGGAGGGAGAAUUUUCCAGGUCCUUGGGGGACAGCCCUGAGGAGACCCCACUAGGUGGCAGUGUAACCAGCGUGCUGGCUGUGGGAUCCAACUGAAGAGUGCUUUAUGUUCCUGCUUAAGCCCCCCCCCCCCUCCUGACUUGCUCAGUUCAUCCCUCCUUGUAUUGAUAAAAGUUUCUAUUUGUGGGGCCUUUCAGUCAAAAAAUAAAGCUCAUAUUCCCGAGUCUUGUGCGGAAGGAAACAGAGUUAGGCAUAGCCUGCACACUGGCGACACCUAAGGUCCACGGAUGAGAAAGGCUUUUACAUCUUCAAUGGUCGAAAAAGAGUAACUCUUCAUGACACCUGAAAAUUAUAUGAAAUUCAAAUUUCAAAGUCUACAAAUAAAGUUUAUUGGAACACAGC